rnacentral:lncRNA from 1 species
GUGAUACAGUUUAUGGUUCCUCUUAUAAACUCCUUGAGGGCUAGCACAUAGUAGGAGGUCAGAAAAUGAAAGCAUAGCCCAGUCUUUCCUCCCUGGAAUCUCAGAAUCUGGUUGGGGGAAUCGAGAAAUGAUAGGAUGUAAAAAACCGCAGCCAAACAACGGUGUGGCGUUCAUCCCUGCAACAGGCGGUAGCCAGUCAGAGGCAAUAUUCGGAGCCAGAAGUGCCCUUGGGGACCGACCCUCCCUUCUGGGGGCUGUGCAGACGGGGGCAACGCGGAGAAAGUAAAUGACUUGUACAAGGUCACGCGGACAGUGAGCAGCCAGGGUGGGAGGGGAACCCUCCGCCGCCAAAUGCUGCGCACAGAAACCCCAUCUCUUUUGCUUUCAGAACCGCAAUCGGCAGAGCAGGUGGUUGAACCAACGUCUACCAUUAACUUGUGUGAGCCUCCGAAAUCACCGCAUCUUUCUCAGACAUUCAGUUCCCAAUCGGUAAUCGAGGGGCUGGACUACCAUUGCGGCUCUCCGUGUGAGGUGCAGAAGAGGAGCUCGGGAGAUUGCUGUCAUCCGGGACUACCGUCUGCACUGCCAUCGCGCCAGGUCGGACCGGCGCAAGGAGGCCAGAUGUCUCAGGACGAGAAGGAGUCGGGGUCGCCCACAGAGAAUCAAGACCAUGGGGAGCUUUCCGUGACUGCAGAGCCUGCAGAGCCCACAGAGCCUGCAGAGCCCGCUGAGCCCACCGAGGCCGCCGAACCCAAGGAGCCUGCUGGAGCCCCUUGAGCCCAAGUUGAGCCUCCGCCCCCGGCCCCGAGCCCAUCCACUGUGAUCUGCCCACCUCCUACCGUCCCUCCUCCUCCUCCCAUCCUGGUGUCGGUGGCGACAGCUUCCACCUGGUCCUUUCCCACCGAACCGGUGGCCCCCAGCGAGCCGGAAGCCAGCACCAGCGAGGAGGACCCUAAAGCGAGCUCCAGCCCAA